AGCCUACCCUAGCCCACUCACAAUAAAAUUCAACUAAGCAAACCAAAAUUUACUUUACUACUAGAACUAAAACAUUCUUACAACUUAGUAUAGGUGAUAGAAAAGAUUCACUUGGCGCUAUAGAGACCAUGUACCGUAAGGGAAAGAUGAAAUAAUAAUGAAAACUAAAGCAACAAACAGCAAAGAUUAAUCCUUGUACCUCUUGCAUCAUGAUUUAGCAAGAACAACCAAGCAAAACGAACUUAAGCUUGCCACCCCGAAACUUAAGCGAGCUACUUGCAAGCAGCUACUCGAGCGAACCCGUCUCUGUUGCAAAAGAGUGGGAUGACUUGCUAGUAGAGGUGAAAAGCCAAUCGAGCUGAGUGAUAGCUGGUUGCCUGUGAAACGAAUCUAAGUUCCCCCUUAAUUCCCCUAAAUGGCUGACUCAACCUAACCCCUAUGUAAUGAAUUAAGAGCUAUUUAAAGGGGGUACAGCCCCUUUAAAAAAGAACACAACCUCCUCUAGCGGGUAAGCUAUUUAAUAGAAAUUCCUCCCUCUCUUCCAAACUGUAGGCCUUAAAGCAGCCACCAAUAAAGAGUGCGUCAAAGCUCAGUAUAUAAAAAAUUUGAAGACAACACGACCCCCUUACCCCUAACAGGCUAACCUAUAAUAAUAGGAGAAAUAAUGCUAAAAUGAGUAACUAGGGCCACUCCCCCUCUUAAGCGCAAACUUACAUCUUACAUUAUUAACAGACCGCAACUAAUACUGCAAACUUAACUAGACCUCAUAUAUUAAACCUUUACCUGUUAAUCCAACUCAGGGGCGCUUACUAGAUAGAUUAAAAUCUGUAAAAGGAACUAGGCAAACUUAGGGCCCGACUGUUUACCAAAAACAUAGCCUUCAGCCAAACAAGUAUUGAAGGUGAUGCCUGCCCAGUGACAUAUACGUUUAACGGCCGCGGUAUUCUAACCGUGCGAAGGUAGCGCAAUCAAUUGUCCCAUAAAUCGAGACCUGUAUGAAUGGCUAAACGAGGUCCUAACUGUCUCUUACAGAUAAUCAGUGAAAUUGAUCUUCCCGUGCAAAAGCAGGAAUAAAUUCAUAAGACGAGAAGACCCUGUGGAACUUAAAAAUCAGUGGCCACUUCAUGUAAACCUACCCCUAUUAGGCCUAACUACACUAUACACUGGCCCACAUUUUUUGGUUGGGGCGACCUUGGAGAAAAGCAAAUCCUCCAAAAAUAAGACCACCCCUCUUAACUGAGAGCGACUCCUCAAUGUACAAACAGUAACCAGACCCAAUAUAAUUGAACAAUGGACCAAGCUACCCCAGGGAUAACAGCGCAAUCUCCUUCAAGAGCCCAUAUCGACAAGGAGGUUUACGACCUCGAUGUUGGAUCAGGACAUCCUAAUGGUGCAGCUGCUAUUAAGGGUUCGUUUGUUCAACGAUUAACAGUCCUACGUGAUCUGAGUUCAGACCGGAGCAAUCCAGGUCGGUUUCUAUCUAUGCUUACACUUUCCCCAGUACGAAAGGACCGGUAAAGUGAGGCCAAUACUUAAAGCACGCCUCCCCUCUAAGUAAUGAACUCAACUAAAUUACAAAAGAAGUACCCACAUACUCUUCCAUCCUAGAAAAGGAUA
rnacentral:rRNA from 1 species